rnacentral:rRNA from 1 species
GACAGAGGUGCCGAGCGUUAGGCGGAAUCACUGGGCUUAAAGCGUGUGUAGGCGGACCGUUAAGUACCUUGUGAAAUCCCCCGGCUCAACCGGGGAACGGCUGGGUAUACUGGCGGUCUUGAGCCAUCCAGGGGCAGUCGGAACAGACGGUGGAGCGGCGAAAUGCGUAGAUAUCGUCUGGAACGCCGAAGGUGAAAACAGACUGCUGGGGAUGAGCUGACGCUGAGACACGAAAGCCAGGGGAGCGAACGGG